rnacentral:tmRNA from 1 species
GGGGGUGAUCCGGUUUCGACGGAAUGUGUUGAGGUCAGAUUGCGCGUCGUGGAUACUCGUUGGCCACGUUAAUAAACGAGUGAAAAUGUAAUUGCGAACAACGAUUACGCUCUUGCCGCCUAAUAUAUAAAGGCCGCAUGUCGAAGCGCCGAUGUCUGCUGAGCGCCUAGGCAUUAUCAUAGCAGAUCACGCUUAAGGGGGCUCCUCUCGCUCGCUUAAGCGUGACGAAUCGAGAGGAUGAGGUCGGCUUAGCGUGUUUGUCCGCUUAUCGGCUUCGAGAUUAAAGAUGAACUACACGCGUAGAUGUUUGGGUGACGCCGUUUCGGACAGGGGUUCGACUCCCCUCACCUCCACCA